rnacentral:snRNA from 1 species
ACCACUCUGUGGUCAUCCGAAAAAUUGGAACGAUACAGAAAAGAUUAGCAUGGCCCCUGCGCAAGGAUGCUACGCAUCAAUAGAGAAGUAUCACACUUUAUU